GACGAACGCUGGCGGCGUGCUUAACACAUGCAAGUCGAACGGAAAGGCCCUGCUUUUGUGGGGUGCUCGAGUGGCGAACGGGUGAGUAACACUUGAGUAACCUGCCCUUGACUUUGGGAUAACUUCAGGAAACUGGGGCUAAUACCGGAUAGGAGCUCCUGCUGCAUGGUGGGGGUUGGAUAGUUUCGGCGGUUGGGGAUGGACUCGCGGCUUAUCAGCUUGUUGGUGGGGUAGUGUCUUACCAAGGCUUUGACGGGUAGCCGGCCUGAGAGGGUGACCGGCCACAUUGGGACUGAGAUACGGCCCAGACUCCUACGGGAGGCAGCGGUGGAGAAGAUUGCACAAUGGGCGGAAGCCUGAUGCAGCAACGCAGCGUGCGGGAUGACGGGCUUCGGGUUGUAAACCGAUUUCGCCUGUGACGAAGCGUGAGUGACGGUAAUGGGUAAAGAAGCACCGGCUAACUACGUG
rnacentral:rRNA from 1 species